rnacentral:rRNA from 1 species
UAACGGAGGUGUACAAAAGGUAAAAAAAAAGAAUUACAAAAGAUUUUUCUUAAUUUUUAUAAUAAAAAAUUUUUGCUUGACUGUAAGAUUAACAAAUCACACAGAAACGUAAGUUGGUUAUAAUGAUCCAGUAUUAUUUUAUGGAGAAGAUACUGCUCAACGGAUAAAAGAUACGCAAGGGAUAACAGGCUAAUAGAUUUUGAGAGCCCUUAUCGAUGAAUCUGUUUGGCACCUCGAUGUCGACUCAUCAUAUCCUGGAGAUGAAGAAUGUUCCAAGGGUUGGGCUGUUCGCCCAUUAAAAUGGUACGUGAGUUGGGUUUAGAACGUUGUGAAACAGUUCGGUUCCUAUCUACUAUCUACUGAAAAUUUAAAAAUAAUUUUACUAAUACGAAAGGAAUGUACAAGUGUAUAUCAAUGGUGCCCCAAUUGUUUUCCCAAAGCAGGUUGGAUAGCUAAAUAUAACUUUGGAAUUAAUUUUAUAUAAAAAUUAAGAACAAAAUUUUUGAAAGUUUCAUUAAAAAAGUAAAAAAUAAUUACUAUAAUAGGUUUUAGGUAAGGCUUAGUAAUAAUUUUUUUUUUUUUUUUGCCUA